UCUACGGGUGGCAGCAGUGAGGAAUAUUGGUCAAUGGGCGAGAGCCUGAACCAGCCAAGUCGCGUGAAGGAUGACGGCCCUACGGGUUGUAAACUUCUUUUGUCAGGGAGCAAUUGGGUCCACGCGUGGCCUUAGCGAGAGUACUUGCAGAAAAAGCAUCGGCUAACUCCGUGCCAGCCGCCGCGGUAAUACGGAGGAUGCGGGCGUUAUCGGGAUUGCUUGGGUUUAUAGGGUGCGUAGGCGGAAUAUCAAGUCAGCGGUAAAAAUUCGGGGCUAAACCACGGCGUGCCGUUGAAACUGAUGUUCUUGAGUGGGCGAGAAGUAUGCGGAAUGCGUGGUGUAGCGGUGAAAUGCAUAGAUAUCACGCAGAACUCCGAUUGCGAAGGCAGCAUACCGGCGCCCAACUGACGCUGAAGCACGAAAGCGUGGGUAUCGAACAGGAUUAGAUACCCCUGUAGUC
rnacentral:rRNA from 1 species